GACGAACGCUGGCGGCGUGCUUAACACAUGCAAGUCGAACGGUAAGGCCCCAGCUUGCUGGGGUACACGAGUGGCGAACGGGUGAGUAACACGUGGGUGACCUGCCCCGCACUUCGGGAUAAGCCUGGGAAACUGGGUCUAAUACCGGAGACGACCGCACCGUGAGGGUGGGGUGGAAAGUUGUUCGGUGUGGGAUGGGCCCGCGGCCUAUCAGCUUGUUGGUGGGGUAAUGGCCUACCAAGGCGGCGACGGGUAGCCGGCCUGAGAGGGUGGACGGCCACAUUGGGACUGCGACACGGACCAGACUCCUACGGGAGGCAGCAGUGGGGAAUAUUGCACAAUGGGCGGAAGCCUGAUGCAGCGACGCCGCGUGGGGGAUGACGGCCUUCGGGUUGUAAACUCCUUUCACCAUCGACGAAGGUUUUCUGACGGUAGAUGGAGAAGAAGCACCGGCUAACUACGUG
rnacentral:rRNA from 1 species